GGACAUAGCUCAGUGGCAGAGUGCAUGUUUAGAAUGCAUGAGGUCCUGGGUUCGAUCCCCAGUACCUCCU
rnacentral:tRNA from 1 species